rnacentral:pre_miRNA from 1 species
UUCAUACUCCCUCCGUCAGGAAAUACUUGUCAUAGGAAUGGAUGUAUCUAGCUGUAUUUUAGUUCUAGAUACAUCCAGUUUUUCCCUUUGUGCGACAAGUAAUUCCGGACGGAGGGAUUAUAUA